CUUGCUGGUCAAGAUAAUUCCGUUUUUACUUUUACCGUUCAAAGUAUUUACGUUGUAAGUUGUCUGGUUGAGGUUGUGUCCGUUAGUUUGUUGUGUACUCGUGCGUUUUAUUGGAUUGCAAAAAUGCCAAAAAAAUAUAUAUAUAUAUAUAUCAGCAAAAAUAUACGAAAUGUUGGGAGACCGAUCCAAAACUUCAAGGAAGCAUCGUCCCGCCAACAGCUAGGUCAUUACUGACGGUGACACCACCACGCCAAGCAGGGACUGAACCCAG